GCACAAGCGGAGGAACAUUGUGGUUUAAUUCGAUGAUACGCGAGGAACCUUACCUGGGCUUAAAUGGGGAGUGACAGCUGUCGAAAGAUGGUUUUCUUCGGACACUCUUCAAGGUGCUGCAUGGUUGUCGUCAGCUCGUGCCGUGAGGUGUCGGGUUAAGUCCCAUAACGAGCGCAACCCUUACCGUUAGUUACCAUCAGGUUAAGCUGGGGACUCUAGCGGGACUGCCACCGUAAGGUGAGAGGAAGUGGGGAUGACGUCAAAUCAGCACGGCCCUUAUGUCCAGGGCUACACACGUGUUACAAUGGCCAGUACAAAGGGCAGCUACCGGGUGACCGGAUGCUAAUCUCUAAAGCUGGUCUCAGUUCGGAUCGAAGUCUGCAACCCGACUUCGUGAAGCUGGAUUCGCUAGUAAUCGCGCAUCAGCCAUGGCGCGGUCGAAUACGUUCCCGGGCCUU
rnacentral:rRNA from 1 species